rnacentral:rRNA from 1 species
AGCUGACCAGCCAUGCCGCGUGCAGGAAGACGGCCUUCUGGGUUGUAAACUGCUUUUCUACGGGAAGAAAAUGCCCUUGCGAGGGAAAUUGCCGGUACCGUAGGAAUAAGCACCGGCUAACUCCGUGCCAGCAGCCGCGGUAAUACGGAGGGUGCAAGCGUUGUCCGGAUUUAUUGGGUUUAAAGGGUGCGUAGGCGGAUCUUUAAGUCAGUGGUGAAAGCCUGCAGCUUAACUGUAGAACUGCCAUUGAUACUGGAGGUCUUGAGUACACUAGAGGUAGGCGGAAUUUAUGGUGUAGCGGUGAAAUGCAUAGAUACCAUAAAGAACACCUAUAGCGUAGGCAGCUUACUGGAGUGUAACUGACGCUGAGGCACGAAAGCAUGGGGAGCGAACAGGAUUAGAUACCCUGGUAGUCCAUGCCGUAAACGAUGAUUACUCGAUGUUGGCGAUAUACUGUCAGCGUCCAAGCGAAAGCGUUAAGUAAUCCACCUGGGGAGUACGCUCGCAAGAGUGAAACUCAAAUGGAAUUGACGGA